CCUACGGGCGGCAGCAGUGGGGAAUAUUGCACAAUGGGCGCAAGCCUGAUGCAGCCAUGCCGCGUGUAUGAAGAAGGCCCUAGGGUUGUAAAGUACUUUCAGUCGGGAGGAAGGCGUUGAUGCUAAUAUCAUCAACGAUUGACGUUACCGACAGAAGAAGCACCGGCUAACUCCGUGCCAGCAGCCGCGGUAAUACGGAGGGUGCAAGCGUUAAUCGGAAUUACUGGGCGUAAAGCGCACGCAGGCGGUUGAUUAAGUUAGAUGUGAAAUCCCCGGGCUUAACCUGGGAAUGGCACCUAAGACUGGUCAGCUAGAGUCUUGUAGAGGGGGGUAGAAUUCCAUGUGUAGCGGUGAAAUGCGUAGAUAUUUGGAGGAAUACCGGUGGCGAAGGCGGUCCCCUGGACAAAGACUGACGCUCAGGUGCGAAAGCGUGGGGAGCAAACAGGAUUAGAUACCCGUGUAGUC
rnacentral:rRNA from 1 species